rnacentral:lncRNA from 1 species
AUGCAAUUAAUAAAUAAAUUAAAAGUCCAAAUGGCCUAAGGAAACCUCUUAGCCGUGAGUUACCAUGCACCAAAAUCAAACUCCAAAUUCCACCUUCAAUAAGCUACACACUACAAAAAAAAAGCUUAUUUAGAGGGGGUUAUUUAGAGGAGGUUAUGAAAAACCCCCUCAAAUUAAUAUAUUUCAUAAUGUUUAAUUUAAAUCAUGAAGGUGUCAAUGAUAACGGGAGUUUUAAUGAUUUUCAAAGGAAGUUUAUAACCCCCUCUAUUUCAAAGGAGUUUUAAUGAUUCUUCAAAAAUAAUAAUAUUUUUUUCCUUUAUUUCCUAAUUUUUUACGUUUCUGUCUCAUUGAUCUAAAUCCCGAAACUCAUCUCCCUCUCAAAAUCACACUACACCCUUAUUUCCUCUAAAAGAUUCCUGAACCCUAAAAUCCCUUUCAUUCCUUUCUCGCUUUCUUCCUCGCACACUGGUUCGUCUCUUCCUCGCACUGAUUAGCCUUCAGAAUCGUAGUCGCGGAACCAUUGGUAGACGGAGCUGCAGCGGUGGUUGCGUGGUCUUCCUUUUGUUACUGUUCUGUCAUUCUCAGGUGAAAGCCCCUGUUCCAUGGUCUUCCUCUUGUUAUUGUUGGCUUGUUGUAGUGAUUGUUUCUGUUGUUCUAUAGUUGGUUGUGGACGUAACUCUGACUCCGGUUGAGGAUCUUGCGGUUUUGGUGCUUGUUGCUGGUCAUUUUGGAGAAUUUGUUGUCUCUGUUGUUGUAGAACUUGUGAGUUUUCAAUCUCUUCUGCUGUUACUUGCCUUUGAUCUUUUAACUUUGUUACGUUAAGCUGCCACAUGAAGAAUGCUUGAUUCAUUUUUAACUAUGUAUUUUCCAAAGCACCUUCGUGAAAGUUUUCUAGUAUUUGAAAACUUAAUUUUUGACCUAAUCUACUGCCUGAUUUAUGUCAGGUGCAAAAAACUGAGAUCAGAAAGAGUGAAUGGAAAUAUUUUGUUCACUACCUUGUAAGUUCAACCAUAAUAUUUCUUCCCCUGCAGCCUAAUUUACUGCAUUUUGUAAACGACUUUACUAAUUUCUAGUGAUUACCUCAUCUCUUGAGUGUUCCUUGAUUUAACUUUUCAAAUUGAUUAAANUUUUAGCCGAAAAGAUUAGAAGCCCUGAAUCAACUUGUUGAUGAUUGGGACUCUGUGACUCAACAGGAUAAGGUACAAGGAAAACUAUUAAAUUCACUCUUUGUAGUU